rnacentral:rRNA from 1 species
GAUUGAACGCUGGCGGCAGGCCUAACACAUGCAAGUCGAGCGGAAACGAGUUAACUGAACCUUCGGGGAACGAUAACGGCGUCGAGCGGCGGACGGGUGAGUAAUGCCUAGGAAAUUGCCCUGAUGUGGGGGAUAACCAUUGGAAACGAUGGCUAAUACCGCAUGAUGCCUACGGGCCAAAGAGGGGGACCUUCGGGCCUCUCGCGUCAGGAUAUGCCUAGGUGGGAUUAGCUAGUUGGUGAGGUAAGGGCUCACCAAGGCGACGAUCCCUAGCUGGUCUGAGAGGAUGAUCAGCCACACUGGAACUGAGACACGGUCCAGACUCCUACGGGAGGCAGCAGUGGGGAAUAUUGCACAAUGGGCGCAAGCCUGAUGCAGCCAUGCCGCGUGU